AUGGUCUUGUGUCAGUACAGACACUACUGCAUUCCACAGGUCUCAGCCUACAUUCCUGGUACGUCUACCCUCAGGUCAUUGGACUCAGCAGGUAUUUAGCAUAUGUACUCAUGGUAUUUCAGCACCUCCUAUCAUGUUCCCCGUAUAGACCAUACAACGAUCAUAUGUUACGCUGAAAGUUACUGUACGACAUCAGUAUGGCCAUAUUUCAGAUAUGGCUACGCUGUCAUGACCAGUAACUUUCAGCUGAUCUACAACUAGAUAACCACCAAACCCACCCCAUUAAAGUCCACUCAGACUUACAUUACCUCCCAGUACCACAGGAACUACAUUGGGCCGCGCUCAACCUCUCAUGCAUAGUCCUCACACAAAGCCAUCUAUGGACCAUUGGCAACAUAAGUCAGGUAACCUUAGGGGACAAAUACGUCCUAUUUGCAACCCCUAAGUUCACA